CUGGCCCUGGAGCCCGCCCGCCCGCCCGCCGGACAGUCGGGGAUGCGAGCCGCAGAAGCCUCAUUAGCAUCUCAAUUAAAGACCGGCCAAAGACUCCUGGGAACCAGGCCACCAGCAGGGGCUCAGGCAUUCCCACACAAAGCCCAUGGACGAAUCAGCUCUCGAGGUCACAGCAAUAUCCCUGACCUCUGUGCACUGGGAGACAGUGGGAAUUCCAAGCAGUUGCCACCUAAAAUGUCUUAAGAUAUUGCCAAAUGUCUUCUGGGGAGCAAAGCAGCAAGACUGAGAAAGACUGGGUAAGUUUUGUUCCAGUGACAUUCCCAACACUAGAGAAGCUCACUUCCCAUCUGUUAGCCUCGUUUCUUGGUGUCUAGUGGCCCUUUGGGCUGGCUAAGGGCAUCAGUUGGCUAAGGGAAAUGAGAGGAAGAAGACAGGAGUAUUUAGGGGGACCCACACAUACCAGUUCUCUUUGGGGAUUACUCAUGGGCUGUGGAGAGAAGCCUCUCUGAAGGAAGCCUGGGAGAAGAGCCCUUCACACCUUCUGGGAGUCUCCCUGUCUGGUAUUUCCCAGUGGACACUGAUAUACGUUUCCAGGAUGGGGGCUGGAGAGAUGACUCUGGAGAGAUGGCUCAGAGGUUAAGAGCACUGGCUGCUCUUCCAGAGGUCCUGAGUUCAAUUCCCAGCAACCACAUGGUGGCUCACAACCAUCCAUGAUGAGACUGGUGCCUUCAGGGAUGCAUGCAGACAGAACACUGUAUACAUAAUAAAUAAAUAAAUCUUUGGGGGUAAAAUUUUCUGGACGCUAGUAAAAUGCACAAGAGGAAAGAAGCAAAGAUGAUGCUGUGCUCACUAAUAACUGGGCGUUUCUCACCCAGAAGUCUCCAUCCUCUUGAAGAAGGUCGGUUGGGGGGGGACGGCUUUCUGAGUCCUGAUCGAGAAAGCAUCCACAGUCACAUACUUACUACACACAUGUACAAAUAGACAAGUGGGAAAUUUUAAGUCAAUCUAGGUGCGAAGACUGACAAGCUUUAAGAUACACAUACUAUGUGAAGAAGAUUGGCCACCAGCUAAAGCUAGGUAAUGACAACAUGGUGGAUCCCACUGCUGUUUCCUCUCUUUGAUCGUACAUGAGAAGUUUCCCUAAUAAAAUACAAAACAAGAGUGGAAAUUA